CUCCAGGUUGCCAAGUGGGAAGGCGUUGGUCUGCAAAACCAAUCAACGAGAGUUCAAUUCUCUCCCUGGAGUCCA
rnacentral:tRNA from 1 species